rnacentral:rRNA from 1 species
ACAGAUCGUUCAGAGUUUGAUCCUGGCUCAGGAUGAACGCUAGCGAUAGGCUUAACACAUGCAAGUCGAGGGGCAGCAUGGUCUUAGCUUGCUAAGGCUGAUGGCGACCGGCGUAAGGGUGCGUAACGCGUAUGUAACUUGCCUUUGAGAGGGGGAUAACCCGGAGAAAUCCGGCCUAAUACCGCGUAUUCUCAAGUUGCUGCAUGGCAGUUUGAGGAAAGAUUUAUUGCUCAGAGAUAGGCAUGCGUUCCAUUAGGUAGUUGGUGAGGUAACGGCUCACCAAGCCGACGAUGGAUAGGGGAGCUGAGAGGCUGACCCCCCACACUGGGACUGAGACACGGCCCAG